AGAGUUGAUCAUGGCUCAGGAUGAACGCUAGCGACAGGCUUAACACAUGCAAGUCGAGGGGCAGCACGGGAGUAGCAAUACAACUGGUGGCGACCGGCGCACGGGUGAGUAACGCGUAUGCAACCUACCUAUCAGAGGGGAAUAACCCGGCGAAAGUCGGACUAAUACCGCAUAAAACAGGGGCACCGCAUGGUGAUAUUUGUUAAAGAAAUUCGCUGAUAGAUGGGCAUGCGUUCCAUUAGGUAGUUGGUGAGGUAACGGCUCACCAAGCCGACGAUGGAUAGGGGAACUGAGAGGUUGGUCCCCCACACUGGUACUGAGACACGGACCAGACUCCUACGGGAGGCAGCAGUGAGGAAUAUUGGUCAAUGGGCGGGAGCCUGAACCAGCCAAGUCGCGUGAAGGAAGAAGGAUCUAUGGUUCGUAAACUUCUUUUGCAGGGGAAUAAAGUGCAGGACGUGUCCUGUUUUGUAUGUACCCUGAGAAUAAGGAUCGGCUAACUCCGUGCCAGCCGCCGC
rnacentral:rRNA from 1 species